rnacentral:rRNA from 1 species
CCUACGGGAGGCUGCAGUAGGGAAUAUUGCUCAAUGGGGGAAACCCUGAAGCAGCAACGCCGCGUGGAGGAUGAAGGUUUUCGGAUUGUAAACUCCUUUUGUUAGAGAAGAUAAUGACGGUAUCUAACGAAUAAGCACCGGCUAACUCCGUGCCAGCAGCCGCGGUAAUACGGAGGGUGCAAGCGUUACUCGGAAUCACGGGGCGUAAAGAGCGCGUAGGCGGGAUAGCAAGUCAGAUGUGAAAUCCUUUGGCUUAACCAUAGAAUUGCAUUUGAAACUGUUAUUCUAGAGUAUGGGAGAGGUAGGUGGAAUUCUUGGUGUAGGGGUAAAAUCCGUAGAGAUCAAGAGGAAUACUCAUUGCGAAGGCGACCUGCUAGAACAUAACUGACGCUGAUGCGCGAAAGCGUGGGGAGCAAACAGGAUUAGAUACCCCAGUAGUC